UGUGCAUCCUGGGGGGCCUCGUUAUUACA
rnacentral:piRNA from 1 species